rnacentral:rRNA from 1 species
GAUGAACGCUGGCGGCGUGCCUAAUACAUGCAAGUCGAGCGAACAGACGAGGAGCUUGCUCCUCUGACGUUAGCGGCGGACGGGUGAGUAACACGUGGAUAACCUACCUAUAAGACUGGGAUAACUUCGGGAAACCGGAGCUAAUACCGGAUAACAUGUUGAACCGCAUGGUUCAACAGUGAAAGACGGUCUUGCUGUCACUUAUAGAUGGAUCCGCGCCGCAUUAGCUAGUUGGUAAGGUAACGGCUUACCAAGGCAACGAUGCGUAGCCGACCUGAGAGGGUGAUCGGCCACACUGGAACUGAGACACGGUCCAGACUCCUACGGGAGGCAGCAGUAGGGAAUCUUCCGCAAUGGGCGAAAGCCUGACGGAGCAACGCCGCGGGAGUGAAGAAGGUCUUCGGAUCGUAAAACUCUGUUAUUAGGGAAGAACAAAUGUGUAAGUAACUAUGCACGUCUGGACGGUACCUAAGCAGAAAACCACGGCUAACUACGU